AUAUGGUCAGUCAAAUAGAGUUCAACAAGUCAUCAGUAUCCUUCCCUUUUCUCUUAAUAAGAUGACUACAAGUUCAUACAUUUGUACUCUUCAGUUAGGCAACAACAAGAGCAGGCAGACUAACAAGUUAAAACAGAUAGCUUAAUUUGUCAAACAAGAUAGAUUUGCAGGAGUCGCCGUGACAUGCACAUGAGCAGAUAUAUGCAAAA
rnacentral:lncRNA from 1 species